rnacentral:rRNA from 1 species
AGAGUUUGAUCCUGGCUCAGGAUGAACGCUAGCUACAGGGCUUAACACAUGCAAGUCGAGGGGCAGCAUGGUCUUAGCUUGCUAAGGCCGAUGGCGACCGGCGCACGGGUGAGUAACACGUAUCCAACCUGCCGUCUACUCUUGGACAGCCUUCUGAAAGGAAGAUUAAUACAAGAUGGCAUCAUGAGUCCGCAUGUUCACAUGAUUAAAGGUAUUCCGGUAGACGAUGGGGAUGCGUUCCAUUAGAUAGUAGGCGGGGUAACGGCCCACCUAGUCUUCGAUGGAUAGGGGUUCUGAGAGGAAGGUCCCCCACAUUGGAACUGAGACACGGUCCAAACUCCUACGGGAGGCAGCAGUGAGGAAUAUUGGUCAAUGGGCGAGAGCCUGAACCAGCCAAGUAGCGUGAAGGAUGACUGCCCUAUGGGUUGUAAACUUCUUUUAUAAAGGAAUAAAGUCGGGUAUGCAUACCCGUUUGCAUGUACUUUAUGAAUAAGGAUCGGCUAACUCCGUGCCAGCAGCCGCGGUAAUACGGAGGAUCCGAGCGUUAUCCGGAUUUAUUGGGUUUAAAGGGAGCGUAGAUGGAUGUUUAAGUCAGUUGUGAAAGUUUGCGGCUCAACCGUAAAAUUGCAGUUGAUACUGGA